rfam:Phytophthora infestans T30-4 supercont1.105 genomic scaffold, whole genome shotgun sequence.
CCGCUUUUAGCUCAGUGGUCGAGCGUUGGCUUUGGAAGCCACAGGUCGGUGGUUCGAGCCCACCAGGGCACA